rnacentral:rRNA from 1 species
ACAGGGAUUGCCCUAGUAACGGCGAGUGAAGCGGCAACAGCUCAAAUUUGAAAUCUGGCGUCUUUGGCGUCCGAGUUGUAAUUUGCAGAGGGCGCUUUGGCAUUGGCAGCGGUCCAAGUUCCUUGGAACAGGACGUCACAGAGGGUGAGAAUCCCGUACGUGGUCGCUAGCCUUUACCGUGUAAAGCCCCUUCGACGAGUCGAGUUGUUUGGGAAUGCAGCUCUAAAUGGGAGGUAAAUUUCUUCUAAAGCUAAAUACUGGCCAGAGACCGAUAGCGCACAAGUAGAGUGAUCGAAAGAUGAAAAGCACUUUGGAAAGAGAGUUAAAAAGCACGUGAAAUUGUUGAAAGGGAAGCGCUUGCAGCCAGACUUGCCUGUAGUUGCUCAUCCGGGUUUUUACCCGGUGCACUCUUCUAUGGGCAGGCCAGCAUCAGUUUGGGCGGUUGGAUAAAGGUCUCUGUCAUGUACCUCCUCUCGGGGAGAACUUAUAGGGGAGACGACAUGCAACCAGCCUGGACUGAGGUCCGCGCAUCUGCUAGGAUGCUGGCGUAAUGGCUGUAAGCGGCCCGUCUUGAAACACGGACCAAGGAGUCUAACAUCUAUGCGAGUGUUUGGGUGUCAAGCCCGAACGCGUAAUGAAAGUGAACGGAGGUGGGAACCUUUCGGGGUGCACCAUCGACCGAUCCUGAUGUCUUCGGAUGGAUUUGAGUAAGAGCAUAGCUGUUGGGACCCGAAAGAUGGUGAACUAUGCUUGAAUAGGGUGAAGCCAGAGGAAACUCUGGUGGAGGCUCGCAGCGGUUCUGACGUGCAAAUCGAUCGUCAAAUUUGGGCAUAGGGGCGAAAGACUAAUCGAACUAUCUAGUAGCUGGUUCCUGCCGAAGUUUCCCUCAGGAUAGCAGUAACGUUUUCAGUUUUAUGAGGUAAAGCGAAUGAUUAGAGGCCUGGGGGUUGAAACAACCUUCACCUAUUCUCAAACUUUAAAUAUGUAAGAAGUCCUUGUUACUUGAUUGAACGUGGACAGUUGAAUGUAUCGUUACUAGUGGGCCAUUUUUGGUAAGCAGAACUGGCGAUGCGGGAUGAACCGAACGCGGGGUUAAGGUGCCAGAAUAUACGCUCAUCAGACACCACAAAAGGUGUUAGUUCAUCUAGACAGCAGGACGGUGGCCAUGGAAGUCGGAAUCCGCUAAGGAGUGUGUAACAACUCACCUGCCGAAUGAACUAGCCCUGAAAAUGGAUGGCGCUCAAGCGUAUUACCCAUACCCCGCCGCUGGGGCAAGAUUUAAGCCCCAGCGAGUAGGCAGGCGUGGAGGUCCGUGACGAAGCCUUGG